rnacentral:misc_RNA from 1 species
GUGCCUCCACCUGAUGAGCAUUAGGAGCACAUAGUCCUAGAAUUGGUAAAAGCUGUUUAUCCACAGAUUUAAUAUAGCUCAUAUCUUGUGCAUGAUUACUUGACUGGGGAAUAUCUGCAAGAGGAUGGCCUCUUGAUGGAAGAUCUAUGUUAUCGUUCACUUUAUGUUUCAGUUUCCCCAACCUUAAGGCUGAGUCGCCCAUGUUUUUCUGUGUCUCAGAUGAUUUAAGACAGCUAUUGUUUUCCAAGUUCAUGACCACAUGUUUCUCUUCACGGUUUCGUGAUGAUACAUUCAUCAAAUUCACAUAAUGAGCUUGUGGAGGAAGGAGGUGACAGAGAGACUCUCGUCCAGCCUGCUCUUCCAUGGGUCCAGAUGCUUCUUCAAUUGCAUUUCUACGGGCUAGCCGUUCUUUCUGUUUGGCGCGAAGCUUAGCAUAUUUUUCCUUUAAUGCUCGUCCAGCUUGACUGUACUCUCGCUCUGGUUCAGGCACAGGCACAGGCACAGGCUCCCCUUCCACGGCAUUCUCUGUUAAUGUUUCAUUGGGGUGUGAAGCAUAUGCUUCCCUGUAAGAAAUGGCUUUCCUUAGGCGCUUGCCUCGACCUAGCGCUGCUUCCUCCUCGCUUUGAUACUUCUCCCAUCUCACUCUUAGAAGCUUGUCCCACUCAUUUUCUUCACUGCUACUUGCCAAGUUAUCCUCUUUCUUCUCAACAUUUUGUACACAAGUGUCUUCACUUACCACCAUAUCUGAUGCUAUUCCAGC